rnacentral:rRNA from 1 species
UACGAAGGGGGCUAGCGUUGCUCGGAAUCACUGGGCGUAAAGGGUGCGUAGGCGGGUCUUUUAAGUCAGGGGUGAAAUCCUGGAGCUCAACUCCAGAACUGCCUUUGAUACUGAAGAUCUUGAGUUCGGGAGAGGUGAGUGGAACUGCGAGUGUAGAGGUGAAAUUCGUAGAUAUUCGCAAGAACACCAGUGGCGAAGGCGGCUCACUGGCCCGAUACUGACGCUGAGGUACGAAAGCGUGGGGAGCAAACAGG